UUUCAGAAUCAUAACCAGGGAAUCGUCUGGUACUGCAAGGGAUAGACAAGCCUCCAUUCACAGCUUCCUUCAGGGCCUCCAAAACUGUAUUGUCAGUGGUAGUUCUGGCAAGGCCUGCAUCCAAAUAGCAGCUGUAAAAAGCUGAAGAAAGGAAGAAAGCGGAAAUUCCCAGGAGAAGAUCCCCGACCACAUCCAGGGCCACCAGCUCUCCACAAACACAAGGCCCAGCAGUGGCACCAAGCAAAGCAUGAGAAGAAACCUCAGGAUUCUGACACAAUCCACAAAUAUAACUUUGAAUUGUCCUGAAACUAAACAAUGACAAUUCUAUCCAAUCAACUUUCAGCUGACACACAGACGGGGUGGUGACUUAUUGGUGUUCCAGAUGUAGUUAAUGGAAACAUGAU
rnacentral:lncRNA from 1 species